rnacentral:rRNA from 1 species
CCACCAGACUCCUACGGGAGGCAGCAGUGGGGAAUAUUGCACAAUGGGGGAAACCCUGAUGCAGCGACGCCGCGUGAGCGAUGAAGUAUUUCGGUAUGUAAAGCUCUAUCAGCAGGGAAGAAAAUGACGGUACCUGACUAAGAAGCCCCGGCUAACUACGUGCCAGCAGCCGCGGUAAUACGUAGGGGGCAAGCGUUAUCCGGAUUUACUGGGUGUAAAGGGAGCGUAGACGGUCCUGCAAGCCAGAUGUGAAAGCCCGGGGCUCAACCCCGGGACUGCAUUUGGAACUGUAAGGCUAGAGUGUCGGAGAGGCAGGCGGAAUUCCUAGUGUAGCGGUGAAAUGCGUAGAUAUAAGGAAGAACACCAGUGGCGAGGGCGGAUGACUGGACGGCAACUGACGGUGAGGCGCGAAAGCGUGGGGAGCAAACAGGAUUAGAUACCCGGGUAA